CUUUGUCUGGCUUUAGUAUCUGGGUGAUGCUGGCUUCAUAGAAUGAGAUCAAAAGUGUUCCUUCCUCUUCAGUUUUUUGGAAUAGUUUAAGAAGUAUAGGUGUUAAAUAUCCUCUAUGUUUGGUAGAAUUCACCUAUGAAGCCAUCUGGUCCUGGACUUUAGUUUGUUGAGAUUUAAGAUCUUUUUCAUAUCUAGGUUGUACAUGGUUUAUAUUAGAAAAAAGUUUAUAGAAAUAUACUAUAUGGCCCACUGGCUCCUCAGAUUCUGUAUCCCCAGAUUCAACUAAAUGUGGAUCCAUCAAACCCUAAAUGUACCCUCAGAACCCAUGGUUCAGUAAUCUAGACAGAAUGUGCGGAUAUGGAGGACAGACUAUUCCACACCAUUUUAUACAAGUGAUUUGAACAUCCUCAGAUUUUUCUAUCUGUGAGGGAGCCUGGACCUAAACUCCUGCAGAUUCCAGAGGGCACUGCUAUUGCCAAAAUGUAGUUCAAAAUAUUUCCCAGGCCACUCUCAUUGCAUCAUAGAUUUGCAGCCUGAGCCAAAAUGUUAGGACAAACUUAGUGUUACAUAUAGUAGUAAAUGUGAGGGUAAAUAUUGUAAACAUUGCAUCUAUCUUACAGAAUAUUAUUGUAAACAAACAUCUAUCUUAUAGAAUAUCUCAUUUAUCCUUCACUUUAGAAAACAUACAGUUUUCUACAGUACUUCUACAAUAUCAUGUACUAAUCCAAUAGUUGACUGAUGAUUAAGAACGUUGUUAAUCUCCUCCCCCCUCCCUUAUGCAUGAGUUUAAUCUGUUUUUUGGUUUUGGUGUCUAUAAGACUAAGCUAAAUUUCACUAUUAAGUAAAAGUUUUUUAAAUUCUUUGAGAAAUUUAUUAUAUGUUUUAUAAAAAUAGUAUUAUGACUUCUUGGAUUUAUCCUAUACAUCUUGCCCACUUGAUGAGAAAGGUGGCAUAAUCAGCUUUAUAAAGAUGGGUCACCACCUAUAAGAGAGUGCUAACCUAUCUGCAUUAUCUUGCCAUCAUAGUAGACAAAGUUUGAAUUAUAGCCACACAAAUCAGAACAGGGAGCAUUCCUUUUCAAAAGAUUUUCUUUACUUCAAAAAUACUCUAUAAGCAAAGGAAUAAUGUGGACCAGUUUGUAGUAGUUGCAGCCAUCUUUGUACUUAAUUUAAACCUGCAAAUAGUUAUCUUAUAAUACACUAUUUUUUAAAUUUUUAAAAUAAAGUAGGACAAAGCCUUUUCUCUCAUCAUUGUUUUCCAUAUACUUUGUUCACUGUGUUAUCAUAAAAUGGGGAAGAAAGGGAAAAAAGAGGUAGUUAGAAGUAAUAUUACUAUAUUUUCAAAUUACUAAAGAAAUGAAGCCCAUUCACAUCCAGAUGAAGGUGAGUACAAGUCUAGAUAUUUCCCCUAAAUAGUGAAUGUGUUACAUACUCAUAAGUGUAAUUUUCCAGUGCCCAAAUGUAGAAGGUAGUCACUAAACUCAACUUUAGUCAAAUGAGGAAGAAUAAAAGAGUGAUGCCUUAUUUAUUUCAGUUAUGGAUAUCUAUUAGAAAUCUGAGCAGCUUUCUGUCAUACUUAAUAUUUUAAACACCUGGUUAAACAAUGCAACAAGCUUACUUGUCAAAGUCAAUCCUUACACUAACUGGUCUCUACCAAUAGUGAAGGGCUGUUUGGUUGCAAGAAACAGAACCCCCUAAAAAAAGAGUUCAAAUUAAAAGGAUGUUUAUCAUAAAGAGAAUACUCUUAUGGUGAGGCAACAGCAGGAAAUACAGCCAGGUCUUACAUGAAAUUUGGCUAGCAGCCAGUCUCUUAAACUCUGUCCUUCUGGGGACAUACCAUUUAUCAUCUUCUCACAGAAACAUAGCUCUCUUUGCAAGGUCCUAAUUUCUGCUUGUUAGUAAUUUUAGCUUGCAUCAAAAUCUAGCUGCUUAUUUUCCUGACAUUAUCUCCAUUCUUCAUGAAUUUACAGCUCCAGUCUCCAUCCAAUAUGCUGAUUCAGUCUCUGGUUCUCUAUCCCAAAAUCUUCAGAAAGAAAACAUGAUUAUUUCAGCUUGGAUCUCUGUCCUUUCCUAAUAAAAUUAACAAGGCUAGAAAAUUAUAGUUAUAUGAUAGUAAGUCUUCCCUUAUUAGGACUAUGAAUCAUAUGUGAUUCUGUUAAAGAGAUGAUGUGGGAAGAGAGGAACUUCAUUUAUGGUUAUACCUAAAGUACCUUUUACUAAGUACACACUUAUUUGUGAUAAGAAUAUUAUAUACAUACUCACUUCCUUAUGCCAUUAAAUCCUCUGGUUCCAUUGAAAUAAUCCCUAUUAUACUAGGUAUAUUUAUAGAUUUGGGGGUAUUCCAUAUGUCCAAACACAUAAAGCAUACCUGAAUCAAUAAUUUAAACUGAUUAAAAGAUAAAAUAAUCAAAAUUUGACCUCUGAAAGCUACUAUAUCAUCUGUUUAAUGGGAAUAAUACUACUUGAUCUAAUUAUAAUAUAUAAGUUGAAAACCCAUGAAUAUAGUCCCCUUUUUUUGAAAUUUAAAACCAAAAUAAAUAAGGCAUAUUCAUGUGACAUUUAACGUUAAAAUUUUUUUCCAAUUACAGGUCUUGAGUUUUCUUUGAGAUAAUUUAUAUUUGAAUAAUUAUUAAGCAAACAUCAUUAAUUCUUUCAAAAUAGUAUGUUUAGAUUAUUGCCAAGUUGAAAUGAUAUACAAAGUUUUAAAAUGAAAAAUGAAUUCAUCUCAUCUCAUUCUCUACAUUGUUCUCACUGAUAGCCAUACUGCAAUCCUUGGUUUGGAAAUCUUUGAGAAACCUGAAACUAGAGGCAUCUUUGGGCCUCUUCACUGACUAUGCCCUAACUCUGAAAUUCUCUGAAUCCAUCUCCAUCAGUAUUUGCAUUAAUUUAACCUUGUAAUAAGGCCUGUAUUCACUAUGUUAUUUAAAAUUGUCAUUGUAAUCCUCUCCACACUGAUAUGUCUUUUGCAUUACUUUUCUCCACAGUAUUUAUCAUUACCUGACAUACUACCUAUUGCUUGUCAAUGGAAGACAACUAAAACAUGCCCUCCAUUGGCAGGAAAUUUUUGUCUCUUUGGUUCUCCGAUACAAUUCCUGUGCCUAAAUCAGAGUCUUUUACAUAUAGGCAUACAGUAAAUAUUGGUUAUGAAUGAAUGGCUCAGAGGAAAAACAAAAAUUAUCCAAAUAAAAAGCAAAUGGCCUUUUACAGUGAGAGUAUAUUCA
rnacentral:lncRNA from 1 species